AAGUAAUCACUGAAUCUACUUAAGAAAAGCGAGUAAACAUAACUGAUUUUUACAAAUUUGUUGAAUUUACUUAAUUACACUGUGUUAUGUGAACUUUCAGGUGGAUGCAAUAGUUAAACUAAACAACUUUAGUAAACAGUACUUAAGAGCAUCUAGUUUGUUGGAUUAAAUCCCACUAUGUGCCCUAAUAACUCUAGACCAGUAGGUGGCGGAAGUGCACCAAUAGGUGGCGGAAGGUUGGUUUAAACAAAACAUCACCAGAAGAAGACAACGAACUGAACUUCAGAGUCAGAUCGUGUUUGAAAUGUGGCAGCAAGAUUAGACAUCUAACAUCAAUGGGCGAUGAACAGCAGUUCUCCACGGCCUUCCACUCUUCCUUGAAAAGGACCUUACUGAUUUUACAAGACAUGUUUUGUAAGUAAUUUUGUCUGUUAUAUUCUGGUUAUUUAGUGUAAUGCAGACAAUUCUUGAGACCUGGCAAGAAAAAAAUCAGGACACAGAAACAAUAUAAGAUAGAAAGGAAUAAAGAAAGUGAAAAAAAAAAA